rnacentral:misc_RNA from 1 species
GAAAUUAAUUAAUUUUACUGGAAUCCCUCAGAUCUUGGUCAAUUACGCCGUUCCCAGUCCUCGCUUCUCGCGCCUCACUCCUCACCAACCAAGCCUCUUCUCACUAGAGCUUCCUCUCUCAAACUCUCCAAUGGCCGCAUCUUCGCUUCUUCAAUCUCCAUAUCUCGCCUCUAAAACCAGAACCACACCCUCUCGCUAUGUUAAACCCACUCCUCAUUUCCUCCCCAUCAAAGCCUCCGCCUUUGAUAAUCCUUCUAACUCUACAGCUCCAUCUCCAACCACCAGCGCCCCCACUACCUACAAAGGUUGCAACAUCCGCGAAGAGGCCCGCCGCCACAGCCUUACUCACCCACAACCCGACAACAACUUCU